rnacentral:lncRNA from 12 species
UGUGCCUCUGGGCUGUCGCUAACGAGCUGGCACGGGAGCUGGGAAUGCUGCAAAGGUUCAGCGUUUUCUGCUCAGGAGGUUGUGCUGACUCCGGGGCAGAGAUGAGACUGGGUCAGGGAACGGGGAGGAAUUACAGGAGAUCACACAAUCCAUUUUCUGCCCAUUUUACAGCCAGAGAAACAGCCCAGGAGUGACUGAGCCCCUUCUUCAGGGGCUUGGAGCUACAGGUUGGUCCCUUCUAAGCCAAACCAUGCCGUGGUUCUGAGAUUAAUCCACAUUUAGUCACUGGCUCAUAGGAACUGCAGCUCCUCCUCUGGAGCAGGAGCUUUGUGAAUAUUCAG